AGAUAGCCUGAAAAAAAAUACCAGCAGAGACAAAAAUGGGGAAUCAGCUUUCCAUCUAAAUGCUAUUUAAAAAAUCACAUAAAUGGAGCUGAAUUCUUCCUCCUGCAAAUGCUCUGUUUUAAUUUGACUCGUGCAUAUUUUUCCCCCCAUGAAAUUUUGGGUUUUGCAACAUAACAGAUAAGCCCCCUUUUUAUUCCUCCACUUGCCAGAACUGUGGUUAUCCAGCCCUCACACAUGCACACCACUUCUAGUGCAUGCUGAAUCCUGGCCAAAAUCAUUUUCUGCUUCUCCAUUCCCCGGCAUUUCAGAAAGCUUUGCCAACGAGGCGUGAUGCCAACCUGUGCU